GCAUCCCCGUCUUGAAAAGACUUGCAGCUAUUCAAUGACAGCUGUGCUUUGCUUAUAAACAUUUGGCCACCAGAUGUUGCCUGUCUUAUGUGUCUCUCCUCUGAAAAGAAGUCUUUAUGAUGAGGUUCUGUCCCC